rnacentral:rRNA from 1 species
UACGGAGGGAGCUAGCGUUGUUCGGAAUUACUGGGCGUAAAGCGCACGUAGGCGGCUUUGUAAGUUAGAGGUGAAAGCCUGGAGCUUAACUCCAGAAUUGCCUUUAAGACUGCAUCGCUUGAAUCCGGGAGAGGUGAGUGGAAUUCCGAGUGGAGAGGUGAAAUUCGUAGAUAUUCGGAAGAACACCAGUGGCGAAGGCGGCUCACUGGACCGGUAUUGACGCGGAGGGGCGAAAGCGGGGGGAGCAAACAGG